AUGGCAGCAGCGCCGCCGCCACUCCCGGAGGAGAUCCUCCUCCGCCUCCCGCCCGACGACCCGGCCUGCCUCCUCCGCGCCUCCCUCCUCUGCAAGGCCUGGGGCUGCGCCGUCUCCCGCCCCCACUUCCGCCGCCGCCUCCACGAGCUCCACCGGGCACCCCCCGUGCUCGGCUUCCUCCACGGCUGCGACGACGACCGCGUCCCCCACUUCACCCCCACCACCGCGUCGUCCUUCUCCCUCGCCGCUCCGGACUCCCGCUCCUGGCGGGCCCUCGACUGCCGCCACGGCCGCGCCCUCUUCCUCUCCAAGGGUGACGCACAGGAACUCCUCCUGUGGGAGCCAACCACGGGCGCCCAGCAGCGCGUGCCGGUGCCCUUCGCGUACGAUGACAUCCGCCGGGACGAGGAGCUGACAGUGUACGCCACCGCGGCCGUGUUCUGCGCAGCCGACGGGUGUGACCACCGGGACUGCUUCAGAGGCCCUUUCGGCGUGUUAUUCGUCUUCUGCGUCGAGCAAGACGGUGACGGUGACAACGGGGUGUGUGUCACGUUGACGCUCCUAUACUCGUCGGAAACCGACUGCUGGGAUGAGCUGCGCUGGAUUUUCCAUGACUUGCCCAUGUGUUUUACAUUUUCUUCCAGCGUGCUUGUUGGGAGGUCUCUGCUCUACUUCAUGUCUGAUGAUGGGUUCAUCCUAGAGUAUGAUUUGGCACGGCAUCGCCUGGCCAUUUUGGACCCACCGAACUAUGAGUCGAUCUAUGAUGCCCGAUAUAACAUCAUGCUGGCGGAGGACGGUGGACUGGGAGUUAGCCAAGAGAUGAAUCCGCAUCUCAAAUUGUGGACAAGGGUGAUUGAAGGCGCCGAUGACCGAUGGGUACUGAGCCGGGUCAUUUACUUGCAAAAUUUGCUCCCAGAUGGUGCCCUCAUGGAGCCAGCAAGUUCAUUGUAUGUGUUGGGCUUUGCUGAGGGAGCAAAUGUCAUUUUCAUGACCACGGUUGCUGGCCUCUUCACGAUUGAACUACCAUCAGAGCGGGUGAGGGUGUGUGAUGAUCAUGGCUUAUGUAAUUUGAUUCCAAUUGUUAGCUUCUACACUCCUGUGCCCCGAGGUGAGCAAAAGGAUCCAUCGUUUGGACCCAGUGAGGGUGCGGGUGAUCAGGAGGGAGGAGGGGAGGAGGAGGAGAACACAGUAGGUCAGGCACAUCAGUUGUUUGACAAUGGGUCCAACAUUAUCAAGGAGGGGGGCUUUGUGGGCGCCUUCGGUUACACCAGCCAUGACCUCGAGAAUAGGGUUCCACCAAACGGAGAAGUUGUUUUGGAGUCUACAGACAUGGGUGUAGCGCUAUACGAAGCUCGAGAGGUGACUGGUCCUUUGGGUGGUGUUCCGAAGACUGCAUGA
rnacentral:rRNA from 1 species